GACACUUUGGCCGAGUGGUUAAGGCGGUGCCCUGCUAAGGCAUUACUCUUUGAGUGCGCAGGUUCGAAUCCUGCAGGUGUCG
rnacentral:tRNA from 1 species